UGAUAAAAAAUUCAUCCAUUUAUGUUGUUAAAAACUAGCGUGGUUGACGAAAUAAUCAGAUAGUGACAUGCGACGUGCCAUGAAUAACAAAAAUGGAUGAAAUUUUUAACA
rfam:Gossypium raimondii Chr09_contig_459, whole genome shotgun sequence.